UACGGGGGGGGCAAGCGUUGUUCGGAAUUACUGGGCGUAAAGGGCUCGUAGGUGGCCAACUAAGUCAGACGUGAAAUCCCUCAGCUUAACUGGGGAACUGCGUCUGAUACUGGUUGGCUUGAGUGCAGGAGAGGAAUGCGGAAUUCCAGGUGUAGCGGUGAAAUGCGUAGAUAUCUGGAGGAACACCGGUGGCGAAGGCGACAUCCUGGACCGGUAUUGACGCUGAGGCGCGAAAGCCAGGGGAGCAAACGGG
rnacentral:rRNA from 1 species